UCACAGGUUGGUGGAUCGAGUCGCAGCUUGGGUCGUGUCAACACGGGUCGGGUCGGGUCAACCCGACUGAUUUAAAAUUUAUUUUUUUUCUUUUUUUCUUUCCUUUUUCUUUUUUCCCUUCUUUCUUUCUUUCUUUUGUCUUUCUUUCUUUCUUCCCCAUACAGCAGCACCCCCCCUUGUGUCGCCGGUUAAGUCUCUCCGCCUGGUGCGACGGCCGGCGAUGGCGCGCAAGGAGGUCUCUUCUUUUCCUCCCUUUUUCCCCUUUUCUUUUUCUUCUUUGCUCUUUCCUUUUUUUCGCUUUUGCUUGCUGCUUUUUCUCUUUGUUUUUGUUUUUUUUUGCGUUUAGGACUCGACGGUGGGAUGACAAUGGUGGUGGCGCGACGGUCGUGGUGGCGGUGGAGGCAAUCGGUCGGAUUUGAGAGCCUCUUUUUUUUGAAUUCCUUUUCUUCUCUUUUUUCUUUACUUUUUUUUCUUGGCUGCCGAAUCCUUUUCUCCUCUUCAAUUUUUCUUUUUAAUGCCUCAAUUUUUGUCCUCUUCCUUCUUGUUUUCAGGUGGCAAUAGAGGUGGAGAGCAUGGCUGAUUGGCGGUGUCAGGUGUGGACUGCAGUGCACACCCGAAUGCUGGUUGGGGACAGUCUUGUCAUGCCUAGAAGGACC
rnacentral:lncRNA from 1 species